AGAACUAUAGUUCAAUGGUAGAGCACCAGCAUUGAACGUUUGAGGCCCUAGGUUCAAUUCCCAGUUUUACUA
rnacentral:tRNA from 1 species